GACGAACGCUGGCGGCGUGCUUAACACAUGCAAGUCGAACGGAAAGGCCCCCUUGUGGGGUACUCGAGUGGCGAACGGGUGAGUAACACGUGAGUAACCUACCCUUGACUUUGGGAUAACUUCAGGAAACUGGGGCUAAUGCCGGAUAGGAGCUCCUGCUGCAUGGUGGGGGUUGGAAAGUUUCGGCGGUUGGGGAUGGACUCGCGGCUUAUCAGCUUGUUGGUGGGGUAGUGGCUCACCAAGGCUUUGACGGGUAGCCGGCCUGAGAGGGUGACCGGCCACAUUGGGACUGAGAUACGGCCCAGACUCCUACGGGAGGCAGCAGUGGGGAAUAUUGCACAAUGGGCGGAAGCCGGACGCAGCAACGCCGCGUGCGGGAUGACGGCCUUCGGGUUGUAAACCGCUUUCGCCUGUGACGAAGCGUGAGUGACGGUAAUGGGUAAAGAAGCACCGGCUAACUACGU
rnacentral:rRNA from 1 species